UACGGAGGGGGCUAGCGUUGUUCGGAAUUACUGGGCGUAAGGCGCACGUAGGCGGCUUUGCAAGUUAGAGGUGAAAGCCCGGGGCUCAACUCCGGAAUUGCCUUUAAAAACUGCAUCGCUAGAAUUGUGGAGAGGUAAGUGGAAUUCCGAGUGUAGAGGUGAAAUUCGUAGAUAUUCGGAAGAACACCAGUGGCGAAGGCGACUUACUGGACACAUAUUGACGCUGAGGUGCGAAAGCGUGGGGAGCAAACAGG
rnacentral:rRNA from 1 species